AUUACACGGGCGUGUUUAAUACACAAUUACCUCAAGUAAAAUAAUAAAAUAAUUUCAAACUAUAUAUAUAUUUUCAAACGCCCUGUGGCGCUCUGUCCUAUGUCGAUCGGGCGUCCGCGCUAAGCUCGGCGUCAAUAUGGACAUCUCAGGGUAGCCUGAGGUGGCCAGGUUGUCUAAGGAGGAACGAACCGGGCGAGGCCCGAAAGGGAGCAGCCAAAAGUUCCCACGUUGAUCAGUAGCGGGAUAGCGCCUGUGAAUAGGAAGAGUGUUACAGCCCAGUCAAAAUCACGGAAAUCAAUCCUUUU
rnacentral:sRNA from 1 species